GCUCACGUGGCUGAAUGGUUAGAGCAUCCUCCUGUUCUACCUGGCGUGCGCGUUUACACGGACGGGGCGGGUUCGACUCCCGCCACGGGCA